AGAGCGAACGCUGGCGGCAGGCUUAACACAUGCAAGUCGAGCGCCCCGCAAGGGGAGCGGCAGACGGGAGAGUAACACGUGGGAACGUACCUUUCGGUUCGGAACAACCCAGGGAAACUUGGGCUAAUACCGGAUACGUCCGUAAGGAGAAAGAUUUAUCGCCGAAAGAUCGGCCCGCGUCUGAUUAGCUAGUUGGUGAGGUAACGGCUCACCAAGGCGACGAUCAGUAGCUGGUCUGAGAGGAUGAUCAGCCUCACUGGGACUGAGACACGGCCCAGACUCCUACGGGAGGCAGCAGUGGGGAAUAUUGGACAAUGGGCGCAAGCCUGAUCCAGCCAUGCCGCGUGGGUGAUGAAGGCCCUAGGAUUGUAAAGCCCUUUCGGCGGGGAAGAUAAUGACGGUACCGCAGAAGAAGCCCCGGCUAACUUCGUGCCAGCAGCCGC
rnacentral:rRNA from 1 species